rnacentral:ncRNA from 1 species
AGAUGGCUUGAUGGCGAUUGAGUAGAUAAGUUAUCAAUUAAAUAAUUCAAUCAAGAUGACUCACUUUAAGCGUGAAAGACCGCUGACAAAAGAGUCCGCACCGCUCUACGAAUUGCUAAAGGGCGAGGGCGAAAGUAGGUAAAGUGACACCACAGGACCUUCAAAACGGGCUAUGCUAAGUAGCCCAUAGCUAAGUCCUAUAUAAGUAUAGGAUACGCUAAAAACGUGGCGAGAUGGGCUGAUACACACGAUGAGGACACGAACAGAGACCGAAAGGAAAGCAAGUAGGGCGUGCAGACGCUUGUAGAAAGUUCGGAUCAGGAUUGAAAUAUCUUGAUAGUUAGCAAUUCC